UUACGGCCGUAUCAAGUUGAAACACCGGUUCCCGUACGAUCACCGAAGUUAAACAACGUCGUGCCUGGUCAGUACCUAAAUGGGUGACCGCUUGGGAAUGCCAAGUGUU